UUGAGCUAACCGGUACUAAUGAACCGUGAGGCUUAACCUUACAACGCCGAAG
rnacentral:rRNA from 13 species